UACGUAGGUCCCGAGCGUUGUCCGGAUUUAUUGGGCGUAAAGCGAACGCAGGUGGCUUAUUAAGUCUGGUGUAAAAGGCAGUGGCUCAACCAUUGUAUGCAUUGGAAACUGGUAGACUUGAGUGCAGGAGAAGAGAGUGGAAUUCCAUGUGUAGCGGUGAAAUGCGUAGAUAUAUGGAGGAACACCGGUGGCGAAAGCGGCUCUCUGGCCUGUAACUGACACUGAGGCUCGAAAGCGUGGGGAGCAAACAGG
rnacentral:rRNA from 1 species